CGCAGAAUUGAGCAAUUGGUUAGCUCCUCGGGCUCAUGAUCCGAUCGUGGUGGUUCGAAUCCAUCUUCUGCA
rnacentral:tRNA from 1 species